UACGUAGGGGGGCAAGCGUUGUCCGGAUUUACUGGGCGUAAAGAGCGUGUAGGCGGCCACGCAGGUCCGUUGUGAAAACUGGAGGCUCAACCUUCAGACGUCGACGGAACCGUGUGGCUAGAGUCCGGAAGAGGAGAGUGGAAUUCCUGGUGUAGCGGUGAAAUGCGCAGAUAUCAGGAAGAACACCAAUGGCGAAGGCAGCUCUCUGGGACGGUACUGACGCUGAGACGCGAAAGCGUGGGGAGCGAACAGG
rnacentral:rRNA from 1 species